CUACGGGAUGCACCAGUGGGGAAUAUUGCACAAUGGAGGAAACUCUGAUGCAGCAACGCCGCGUGGAGGAUGACACUUUUCGGAGCGUAAACUCCUUUUAUAUAGGAAGAAGAUGACGGUACUAUAUGAAUAAGCGCCGGCUAACUCCGUGCCAGCAGCCGCGGUAAUACGGAGGGCGCAAGCGUUACUCGGAAUCACGGGGCGUAAAGAGCGUGUAGGCGGAUUAAAAAGUCAGAAGUGAAAUCCUAUAGCUUAACUAUAGAACUGCUUCUGAAACUCUUAAUCUAGAAUAUGGGAGAGGUAGAUGGAAUUUCUGGUGUAGGGGUAAAAUCCGUAGAGAUCAGAAGGAAUACCGAUUGCGAAGGCGAUCUACUAGAACAUUAUUGACGCUGAGACGCGAAAGCGUGGGGAGCAGACAGGAUUAGAUACCCUCGUAGUC
rnacentral:rRNA from 1 species